UACGUAGGGUGCGAGCGUUGUCCGGAAUUACUGGGCGUAAAGAGCUUGUAGGUGGUUUGUCGCGUUGUUCGUGAAAACUCACAGCUCAACUGUGGGCGUGCGGGCGAUACGGGCAGACUAGAGUUCUGCAGGGGAGACUGGAAUUCCUGGUGUAGCGGUGGAAUGCGCAGAUAUCAGGAGGAACACCGGUGGCGAAGGCGGGUCUCUGGGCAGUAACUGACGCUGAGAAGCGAAAGCGUGGGGAGCGAACAGG
rnacentral:rRNA from 1 species